GACGAACGCUGGCGGCGUGCUUAACACAUGCAAGUCGAACGGAAAGGCCCUGCUUUUGUGGGGUGCUCGAGUGGCGAACGGGUGAGUAACACGUGAGUAACCUGCCCUUGACUUUGGGAUAACUUCAGGAAACUGGGGCUAAUACCGGAUAGGAGCUCCUGCUGCAUGGUGGGGGUUGGAAAGUUUCGGCGGUUGGGGAUGGACUCGCGGCUUAUCGGCUUGUUGGUGGGGUAGUGGCUUACCAAGGCUUUGACGGGUAGCCGACCUGAGAGGGUGACCGGCCACAUUGGGACUGAGAUACGGCCCAGACUCCUACGGGAGGCAGCAGUGGGGAAUAUUGCACAAUGGGCGGAAGCCUGAUGCAGCAACGCCGCGUGCGGGAUGACGGCCUUCGGGUUGUAAACCGCUUUCGCCUGUGACGAAGCGUGAGUGACGGUAAUGGGUAAAGAAGCACCGGCUAACUACGUG
rnacentral:rRNA from 1 species